UACGUAGGGUGCAAGCGUUGUCCGGAAUUAUUGGGCGUAAAGAGCUCGUAGGCGGUUUGUCGCGUCUGCUGUGAAAAUCCAGGGCUUAACCCUGGACCUGCAGUGGGUACGGGCAGACUGGAGUGCGGUAGGGGAGAUCGGAAUUCCUGGUGUAGCGGUGAAAUGCGCAGAUAUCAGGAGGAACACCGGUGGCGAAGGCGGAUCUCUGGACAGUUCCUGACGCUGAGGCACGAAGGUCAGGGGAGCAAACGGG
rnacentral:rRNA from 1 species